AAUAGAUACCCUGGUAGUCCACGCCGUAAACGAUGGAUACUAGCUGUUUGACCGCAAGGUUGAGUGGCUAAGCGAAAGUGAUAAGUAUCCCACCUGGGGAGUACGAACGCAAGUUUGAAACUCAAAGGAAUUGACGGGGGCCCGCACAAGCGGUGGAGCAUGUGGUUUAAUUCGAUGAUACGCGAGGAACCUUACCAGGGCUUAAAUGUAGUUUGACGUAUUUGGAAACAGAUAUUUCUUCGGACAAAUUACAAGGUGCUGCAUGGUUGUCGUCAGCUCGUGCCGUGAGGUGUCAGGUUAAGUCCUAUAACGAGCGCAACCCCUGUUGUUAGUUGCCAGCGAGUAAUGUCGGGAACUCUAACAAGACUGCCAGUGUAAACUGCGAGGAAGGUGGGGAUGACGUCAAAUCAUCACGGCCCUUACGUCCUGGGCCACACACGUGCUACAAUGGACGGUACAGAGAGCAGCCACUUAGCAAUAAGGAGCGAAUCUAUAAAACCGUUCUCAGUUCGGAUCGGAGUCUGCAACUCGACUCCGU
rnacentral:rRNA from 1 species